AGUAAACUGAGAAUAAUAGUUGCUUGUAAAAGAAACAAACACAAGAAUUUGAUAACCGAGUUCACGGCUAACCGCUACGUCUCGGGGAAGGACUCUUGCUUCCAAGCUUCACUAUCUCAAAGAGGUUACACACACACACCACUAACUUGUGAUAGUCUUGGUUUUUCAGGUUUACAACAAGAAGAUACAAGGAAUCAAAGACAACAAAGAUGAAGAAGAAAGCUUGCUUGAGAAGCUCUUGUUCUCUCUCUCUUUCUCUAGAACACUCUUUGAUGUCUUGUCUCACCUAACACCACUUUCUCAUCCCACGUAGAGGGGGGAUAUAUAUAACUCAAUGUGAUGGGCCAAUGUCACUUGUUCUUCUUUUUUUAUGUCAUUUUUAGUGUGUUUUUGUCCAACCCAACAACAAACUCCACCUUUUGACAAAAGACACACUUCGACGACAUCAACCUGAGAAACCCAACCUCACCUCUUCUCUGUCUGUGAAGCUAAACACCACCUCCGGAUCGCCACCUCCUCCGGCGAUCUACUCCGGUGACUCUCCUCCUUCAUCUCCGAUCAUCAUCUCCACCAAUCUCCUCCGAGCUUCCUCUUGUUCCCGUGAUGGAGAGAAGAUGGUGAAAAUCGAAAUCAAUUUUAGAUUCCGACCUCAGCCGUACGUUCUCCGACGGCCACCUCCGGCGAAAUCAACCACAAUCCUCCACUUACUUCUCGACGGCUCUUACUUUUGGCGAAUCAAAGACAUCACCUUCGUCACUGCCAACGAAUCUGAAGCUUCUUCUCCAAUGAAUCUAAAGCUUCUUCUUCGUCUCUUCCGGUGAAUCGGACCACCGCCGUCACCGUUCAUCUCAGUGACUGGCUCCGUUUCUCCGACAUGUGCCACCGUUUCACCGAAAACUUUACUUCUUCUCCGGUGAGACCCUGCUCAAUCACUUUCGACGUCCGUUGAAUCACCACAACCAACGACCAUAUUUGGCUGCUUGAAGACAACAACUUAUGGUAAC